rnacentral:rRNA from 1 species
GAUGAACGCUGGCGGCGCGCCUAAUACAUGCAAGUCGAGCGAACGGACGAGAAGCUUGCUCCUCUGAUGUUAGCGGCGGACGGGUGAGUAACACGUGGAUAACCUACCUAUAAGACUGGGAUAACUUCGGGAAACCGGAGCUAAUACCGGAUAAUAUAUUGAACCGCAUGGUUCAAAAGUGAAAGACGGUCUUGCUGUCACUUAUAGAUGGAUCCGCGCUGCAUUAGCUAGUUGGUAAGGUAACGGCUUACCAAGGCAACGAUGCAUAGCCGACCUGAGAGGGUGAUCGGCCACACUGGAACUGAGACACGGUCCAGACUCCUACGGGAGGCAGCAGUAGGGAAUCUUCCGCAAUGGGCGAAAGCCUGACGGAGCAACGCCGCGUGAGUGAUGAAGGUCUUCGGAUCGUAAAACUCUGUUAUUAGGGAAGAACAUAUGUGUAAGUAACUGUGCACAUCUUGACGGUACCUAAUCAGAAAGCCACGGCUAACUACGUG